rnacentral:rRNA from 1 species
AGCGAACGCUGGCGGCAGGCCUAACACAUGCAAGUCGAACGAACUCUUCGGAGUUAGUGGCGGACGGGUGAGUAACACGUGGGAACGUGCCUUUUGGUUCGGAAUAACUCAGGGAAACUUGUGCUAAUACCGAAUGUGCCCUUCGGGGGAAAGAUUUAUCGCCAUUAGAGCGGCCCGCGUCUGAUUAGCUAGUUGGUGAGGUAACGGCUCACCAAGGCGACGAUCAGUAGCUGGUCUGAGAGGAUGACCAGCCACACUGGGACUGCGACACGGCCCAGACUCCUACGGGAGGCAGCAGUGGGGUAUCUUGCGCACUGGGCGAAAGCCUGACGCCGCCAUGCCGCGUGAAUGAUGAAGGUCUUAGGAUUGUAAAAUUCUUUCACCGGGGACGAUAAUGACGGUACCCGGAGAAGAAGCCCCGGCUAACUUCGUG